rnacentral:rRNA from 1 species
UUAAGGCUGAGACCUGAUGCCGAGCCGAUUGUGGUGAAGUGGAUGAUCCUAUGCUGUCGAGAAAAGCCUCUAGCGAGUUUCAUGGCGGCCCGUACCCUAAACCGACUCAGGUGGUCAGGUAGAGAAUACCGAGGCGUUCGGGUGAACUAUGGUUAAGGAACUCGGCAAAAUGCCCCCGUAACUUCGGGAGAAGGGGGGCCAUCACUGGUGAUCGGAUUUACUCCGUGAGCUGGGGGUGGCCGCAGAGACCAGCGAGAAGCGACUGUUUACUAAAAACACAGGUCCGUGCGAAGCCGUAAGGCGAUGUAUACGGACUGACGCCUGCCCGGUGCUGGAACGUUAAGGGGACCGGUUAGCUCUGUUUCGACAGGGCGAAGCUGAGAACUUAAGCGCCAGUAAACGGCGGUGGUAACUAUAACCAUCCUAAGGUAGCGAAAUUCCUUGUCGGGUAAGUUCCGACCUGCACGAAUGGCGUAACGACUUCUCGACUGUCUCAACCAUAGGCCCGGUGAAAUUGCACUACGAGUAAAGAUGCUCGUUUCGCGCAGCAGGACGGAAAGACCCCGGGACCUUUACUACAGUUUGAUAUUGGUGUUCGGUUCGGCUUGUGUAGGAUAGGUGGGAGACUUUGAAGCCGUGACGCCAGUCAUGGUGGAGUCGCCGUUGAAAUACCACUCUGGUCGUGCUGGAUGUCUAACCUCGGUCCGUGAUCCGGAUCAGGGACAGUGUCUGAUGGGUAGUUUAACUGGGGCGGUUGCCUCCCAAAGGGUAACGGAGGCGCCCAAAGGUUCCCUCAGCCUGGUUGGCAAUCAGGUGUUGAGUGUAAGUGCACAAGGGAGCUUGACUGUGAGACCGACGGGUCGAGCAGGGACGAAAGUCGGGACUAGUGAUCCGGCGGUGGCUUGUGGAAGCGCCGUCGCUCAACGGAUAAAAGGUACCCCGGGGAUAACAGGCUGAUCUUCCCCAAGAGUCCAUAUCGACGGGAUGGUUUGGCACCUCGAUGUCGGCUCGUCGCAUCCUGGGGCUGGAGUCGGUCCCAAGGGUUGGGCUGUUCGCCCAUUAAAGCGGUACGCGAGCUGGGUUUAGAACGUCGUGAGACAGUUCGGUCCCUAUCCGCUGUGCGCGUAGGAAUAUUGAGAAGGGCUGUCCCUAGUACGAGAGGACCGGGACGGACGAACCUCUGGUGUGCCAGUUGUCCUGCCAAGGGCAUGGCUGGUUGGCUACGUUCGGGAGGGAUAACCGCUGAAAGCAUCUAAGCGGGAAGCCUGCUUCGAGAUGAGUAUUCCCACCUCCUUGAGAGGGUAAGGCUCCCAGUAGACGACUGGGUUGAUAGGCCGGAUGUGGAAGCCCAGUAAUGGGUGGAGCUGACCGGUACUAAUAGGCCGAGGGCUUGUCCUC